ensembl:lncRNA
GAGGUGCUGGCUAGCAGAGUAGAACACUUGGUUAGGGGAGGUGCUGGCUAGCAGAGUAGAACACUUGGUUAGGGGAGGUGCUGGCUAGCAGAGUAGGACACCUGGUCAGAGUAGAACACCUGGUUAGGGGAGGUACUGGCUAGCAGAGUAGAACACCUGUUUAGGGGAGGUACUGGGCUAGCAGAGUAGAACACCUGGUUAGGGGAGGUACUGGGCUAGCAGAGUAGAACACCUGGUUAGGGGAGGUACUGGGCUAGCAGAGUAGAACACCUGGUUAGAGGAGGCGCUGGCUAGCAGAGUAGAACACCUGGUUAGGGGAGGUACUGGGCUAGCAGAGGAGAACACCUGGUUAGGGGAGGUGCUGGCUGAGGGGAGUAAAACACUUGCUUAGGGGAGGUGCUGGCUGAGGGGAGUAGAACAUCUGGUUAGUGGAGGUACUGACUAGCAGAGUAGAACACCUGGUUAGGGGAGGUGCUGGCUAGCAGAGUUUAACACCUGGUUAGGGGAGGUGCUGGCUAGCAGAGUAGAACACCUGGUUAGGGGAGGUACUGGCUAGCAGAGUAGAACACCUGGUUAGGGGAGGUGCUGGCUAGCAGAGUAGAACACCUGGUUAGGGGAGGUACUGGCUAGCAGAGUAGAACACCUGGUUAGGGGAGGUACUGGCUAGCAGAGUAGAACACCUGGUUAGGGGAGGUGCUGGCUAGCAGAGUAGAACACCUGGUUAGGGGAGGUGCUGGGCUAGCUGAGUAGAACACCUGGUUAGGGGAGGUACUGGCUAGCAGAGUAGAACACCUGGUUAGGGGAGGUGCUGGCUAGCAGAGUAGAACACCUGGUUAGG